rnacentral:rRNA from 1 species
UACGUAGGUGGCGAGCGUUGUCCGGAUUUACUGGGCGUAAAGGGAGCGUAGGCGGACUUUUAAGUGAGAUGUGAAAUACCCGAGCUCAACUUGGGUGCUGCAUUUCAAACUGGAAGUCUAGAGUGCAGGAGAGGAGAAUGGAAUUCCUAGUGUAGCGGUGAAAUGCGUAUAGAUUAGGAAGAACACCAGUGGCGAAGGCGAUUCUCUGGACUGUAACUGACGCUGAGGCUCGAAAGCGUGGGGAGCAAACAGGAUUAGA